GACGAACGCUGGCGGCGUGCUUAACACAUGCAAGUCGAACGCUGAAGCUCAGCUUUUGUUGGGUGGAUGAGUGGCGAACGGGUGAGUGACACGUGAGUAACCUGCCCCCUUCUUUGGGAUAACGCCCGGAAACGGGUGCUAAUACUGGAUAUUCACUGGUCUUCGCAUGGGGGUUGGUGGAAAGGGUUUUUCUGGUGGGGGAUGGGCUCGCGGCCUAUCAGCUUGUUGGUGGGGUGAUGGCCUACCAAGGCUUUGACGGGUAGCCGGCCUGAGAGGGUGACCGGUCACAUUGGGACUGAGAUACGGCCCAGACUCCUACGGGAGGCAGCAGUGGGGAAUAUUGCACAAUGGGCGCAAGCCUGAUGCAGCGACGCCGCGUGAGGGAUGGAGGCCUUCGGGUUGUGAACCUCUUUCGCUCAUGGUCAAGCCGCAACAAUGGUUGUGGUGAGGGUAGUGGGUAAAGAAGCGCCGGCUAACUACGUG
rnacentral:rRNA from 1 species